GACGAACGCUGGCGGCGUGCUUAACACAUGCAAGUCGAACGGAAAGGCCCUGCUUUUGUGGGGUGCUCGAGUGGCGAACGGGUGAGUAACACGUGAGUAACCUGCCCUUGACUUUGGGAUAACUUCAGGAAACUGGGGCUAAUACCGGAUAGGAGCUCCUGCUGCAUGGUGGGGGUUGGAAAGUUUCGGCGGUUGGGGAUGGACUCGCGGCUUAUCAGCUUGUUGGUGGGGUAGUGGCUUACCAAGGCUUUGACGGGUAGCCGGCCUGAGAGGGUGACCGGAAGCAGAGGGAGUGGGGGUAGGCGGAGAGUGCGAGGGGGGGGAGGGGGGGGGAGAGAUGCAGGGUGGGGGGGGGCAUGCUGCCGGAACGCCGGGGGCGGGGGUACGGCGUUGGGGGUGGAUACCGCUGGAGCCGGGGAGGGAGGGGGAGGUACGGAAAUGGAUAAGGAAGAACCGGCUAACAACGGGCAGGAAGGGGGGGUAAGGGUUCGGGACAACGCUGCUAAA
rnacentral:rRNA from 1 species